ACCGACGCAUUUCCUUCCGCUCUGGGACGCCGCAGCCGGUCGGUUCAAAGUGGGCUGACUAUAGGCGACGGCGCGCUUCCGAGGUUCCGCCUAUCGCGGGGGCAGACGGCUAGCGGCGAGUAGGUCGGUAACCCACCCGACCCGUCUUGAAACACGGACCAAGGAGUCUGACGUGUGCGCGAGUCAUGGGGACUUGAACAGGCCCAAAGGCGAAACGAAAGUGAAGUCGCGAUUCCGUGGACGCAGCGACGACCCGGCCGGUGUUUGAGCGCACAUGUUGGUACCCGAAAGAUGGUGAACUAUGCCUGGCCAGGGCGAAGUCAGAGGAAACUCUGAUGGAGGCCCGUAGCGCUUCUGACGUGCAAAUCGAUUGCGAGAGCCAGGUAUAGGGGCGAAAGACCAAUCGAACCAUCUAGUAGCUGGUUCCCUCCGAAGUUUCCCCCAGGAUAGCUGGCGCUCAUUCGUCGACGAAUGGUAAAGCGAA
rnacentral:rRNA from 1 species